rnacentral:rRNA from 1 species
UAUUCAAAAGAAAGACGACAAGACCCUAUUGAACUUAACUUAAGUUUAACUGGGGCAGUUAAUUAAUUAUUAUUUUAAUAUAAUUAAUUCUAAAAAUUAUUCCAAUAUAAUUGAAUUAAUCAAGUUACCAUAGGGAUAACAGCGUAAUAAAUUUUCAAAGAUCAUAUACAAAAAUAUGUUUGCGACCUCGAUGUUGAAUUAAUAACCUAAUUGGAGCAAAGACUAAAUUAGGAAGUCUGUUCGACUUUUAAAAAAUUACAUGAUUUGAGUUCAGACCGGUAUAAGCCAGGUCGGUUUCUAUCUUCUUACAAAUUUCUUACAGUACGAAAGGGCCCAAGAAAAUAAUCUAAUUAUUAUAUUGGCAGAAAAAUGCAUUAGAAUUAGAAUCUAAUAAAACUAAUAUAUCAUUUAUUUCAUCAUAUCUAAUAAUUAUUGUAAGU